UGUAACAUCUUACAGGAUUGAGUCGAUUGUUUGGUCAGGCCUGCUCAUUUCAAGUUUCAGUUUGUAACAUCUUACAGGUUUCGAUUUAGCUCGAUUGUUUGGUGAUCAUCACAGGUUUCAGGUAUACAUAUGCAUGUUCAGUUUUAUAUUUGUUUAGUUGCUCAUUUCAGGAUGGGAGUUUAUAAGCAUUUUUUUUUCUUUUCUAUGACAAGUUGUACGAGCCGAGCGAAAACCAAAAUUUCUUCAAUUUCCUAUUGUUGUACAUUAUGUAAUCAGUAGCAAAAUAAGUUGUACUUUUUUUUUUUUUGGUUCUUGAUUACCUUCCCAACAACUACUUUCGGAUGCAUUUAUUUUUGUUAUCAAUAUGAAGUGUUUUCUUGAUGUA